CCCACUUCUUCACUCCUACAAUAUUUUUGAGUUGUUGAGGAAACGGGGGGGAAAAUCUUAUCUUCCUCCUAGUUCCUACAUUGUACCUAAACCUUCAGACUAGAGUGUAGGUGCAUUUUGGUCAGCAAGGGGAUGGGUAUGUUGCUAGAUAUCGUUGGUGGGCUGAGCAUUUGCGUUUCGACUCUUUGGGAUUUGCAAGAAAUGAGAUUUUCUGCUAUUUUUGACGAUGUAAGUUCUGUGGCCAUGGCCGUUAUCAUGGCGGCUGUAUCAUGUUUCAUUGCUACGAGGAGACUAUGAAUUGGUAAUUACAAGUUUAUGUUCAUUAACUGAUGACACCUUUGAUUUUCAACUUCCA